UACGAAGGGGGCUAGCGUUGUUCGGAAUUACUGGGCGUAAAGCGUGCGCAGGCGGUUUUUCAAGUCAGGGGUGAAAGCCCAGAGCUCAACUCUGGAAUUGCCCUUGAAACUGACAAACUGGAGUACGAGAGAGGUGAGUGGAAUUCCCAGUGUAGAGGUGAAAUUCGUAGAUAUUGGGAAGAACACCGGUGGCGAAGGCGGCUCACUGGCUCGUAACUGACGCUCAGGCACGACAGCGUGGGGAUCAAACAGG
rnacentral:rRNA from 1 species